rnacentral:rRNA from 1 species
UACGUAGGGUGCGAGCGUUGUCCGGAAUUACUGGGCGUAAAGAGCUCGUAGGUGGUUUGUCGCGUUGUCCGUGAAAACUCACAGCUCAACUGUGGGCGUGCGGGCGAUACGGGCAGACUGGAGUACUGCAGGGGAGACUGGAAUUCCUAGUGUAGCGGUGGAAUGCGCAGAUAUCAGGAGGAACACCGGUGGCGAAGGCGGGUCUCUGGGCAGUAACUGACGCUGAGGAGCGAAAGCGUGGGGAGCGAACAGG